GACGAACGCUGGCGGCGUGCUUAACACAUGCAAGUCGAACGCUGAAGCCCUGGCUUUUGUUGGGUUGGAUGAGUGGCGAACGGGUGAGUAACACGUGAGUAACCUGCCCUCUUCUUUGGGAUAACGCCCGGAAACGGGUGCUAAUACUGGAUAUUCACUGAUCUUCGCAUGGGGGUUGGUGGAAAGGUUUGUUCUGGUGGGGGAUGGGCUCGCGGCCUAUCAGCUUGUUGGUGGGGUGAUGGCCUACCAAGGCUUUGACGGGUAGCCGGCCUGAGAGGGUGACCGGUCACAUUGGGACUGAGAUACGGCCCAGACUCCUACGGGAGGCAGCAGUGGGGAAUAUUGCACAAUGGUCGAAAGCCUGAUGCAGCGACGCCGCGUGAGAGAUGGAGGCCUGCGGGUUGGAAACCUCUUUCGCUCAUGGUCAAGCCGCAACUGUGGGUUGUGGUGAGGGUAGUGGGUAAAGAAGCGCCGGCUAACUACGUG
rnacentral:rRNA from 1 species